AGAGUGAACGCUGGCGGCGUGCUUAACACAUGCAAGUCGAACGAGAACGGGUCUUAGCUUGCUAAGAUUGUCAGCUAAGUGGCGCACGGGUGAGUAAUAUAUAGUUAACCUGCCCUAGAGAGAGGGAUAACGUUUGGAAACGAACGCUAACACCUCAUAUGCCUUUAAGUCAAAAGACUGCAAGGGAAACAUUUAUGGCUCUAGGAUGGGACUGUACGGUAUCAGUUAGUUGGUGAGGUAAUGGCUCACCAAGACAAUGACACCUAACUGGUUUGAGAGGAUGAUCAGUCACACUGGAACUGAGACACGGUCCAGACUCCUACGGGAGGCAGCAGUGGGGAAUAUUGCACAAUGGACGAAAGUCUGAUGCAGCAACGCCGCGUGGAGGAUGACACAUUUCGGUGCGUAAACUCCUUUUAUAUAGGAAGAUAAUGACGGUACUAUAUGAAUAAGCACCGGCUAACUCCGUGCCAGCAGCCGCGGUAAUACGGAGGGUGCAAGCGUUACUCGGAAUCACUGGGCGUAAAGAGAAUGUAGGCGGGUAAUUAAGUCAGAAGUGAAAUCCAAUAGCUCAACUAUUGAACUGCUUUUGAAACUGAUAACCUAGAAUAUGGGAGAGGUAGAUGGAAUUUCUGGUGUAGGGGUAAAAUCCGUAGAGAUCAGAAGGAAUACCGAUUGCGAAGGCGAUCUACUGGAACAUUAUUGACGCUGAGAUUCGAAAGCGUGGGGAGCAAACAGGAUUAGAUACCCUGGUAGUCCACGCCCUAAACGAUGCACACUAGUUGUUGCUAUGCUAGACAUAGCAGUAAUGCAGUUAACACAUUAAGUGUGCCGCCUGGGGAGUACGGUCGCAAGAUUA
rnacentral:rRNA from 1 species